GAUCUAUCAGGGUAUGCUUCUGAAGUAUACUGUGCUUGCAUUUUACAUCAGUGACUACUGGCACAGAUUCAAAAAGCCUAAUUGGGAUUAAAUAUUCAUACAAAAUAGAGAACAGUGUCAACAGCAGAAGCCUUACUAGCAUGUUCCUGCUUGCUGGCCUUUGCAAUAGCUGCAUGUUCCUCUUUUACUCUGUUCUCGUUCUUGACUUUACUGAAUCCUGCUUGUCAUGGAGUUUAUAAAUAGGGCUUUUCCUUCCCCUUUGAUUUAAAACAGCAUUUGUAAGAGCUCAGCAGCUGCCAGUGUUAUUCAUUUAUUUAAGCCAUCUGAUUCACUUUGUUAUAUCAAUAAAUGAGAGACCCUUUUCUUCAAAAUGCUUUUCUCAGAUUUCUCCCAAAAUUUACAGUGCUUGUGAAGAUGAGCAAAGCUCAAAAUGGCUCAAUUCUCUCUGUAAGCAAAGCAGAUCUCAGCUUGAAAAAAGAUAACCACCUAAACUAUACAUUUAAUGUAGUGCAAUUUUUAUUAUAAGGUGUUUCUUAAAUAUUUCAUGAUCUUCUGCUACAGUAUUAUUGAAGACAAUCUAAUUCAUUAUUGUCUUCCAACAGAAGAAUUCAUUACCUGAGAUUUUUCUUGUUUUCAUUGACAUGACCAAGUAAUGAAUAGUAAUUAACGUCUGAGAAGAAAGUUACGAAUGCAGAGAUUUUUAAAAUAACAGACAGAAAGCAAUUUAGGAAUAAAUUAUCAAAACUAGCCCUUAAUUUUUUGGUUUAGCUUUUUUUUUCUUUGAUUGAUGGAGGGAAAUCGUACUGCAUAUAUAUCUUCUUAUUCAACAUUGGGUUUGUUUGGUUUUCUUUCAGAGUGUGUUGAUUUAAUUUGUCACCAUUUCUUCCCUUUCCUUUGCAGAAACUCUAAAGAGUGCACAUCCUUCAAAACAACUAGCAUGACACAAGACCAGCAGUGUGCAUGUAUAGAAUAUCAGGACCUUAAAUAACUCUCUUGUUGCAUUCAGUGAUCUGAAUUUCCAUGCUGCAAAUGUAAAUGCCAUGUUCAAUUUUACUUUCUGCUGCUGUAAUGCAAGUAUGAAUAUUGCCAUUUUCUGUAAACCCAAAAAGAUCUGGCAAAGCAACACUGCUCCUGGGCUUGACAGUGAUGGCAGUGUUUCAGCUUCCAUUAAACAAAUGGGAAAAGACUUGAAAAAUUAAACACAAAGUUGAAUAUUUCAUAGUGACUUUGCUAAAUGGGACUGGUCUAUCUCUUCCAGAGAACUCUCCAGAAAGUGACCCCUUGUGGCAGGUGAAUGCCCAAGACGUCCAUCUGCAGGUGUGCAGGGACUCCUGCACCACAGCACCUCCCAGGCAAGGCUUUUAUCAUCUGGCCAAACCAGGGGACUGUGUCCCCAAAGAUCUGAAACGCAGACUUUGGAAAGACUGGAGAAGUGCUGCUGCUCCUAAGCACUGGCCCUGUUUCUGUGCCACUGCAAGAUCUUCAGAUAUCCUCCCCUUCCCUCCCUAGGCUGCAGAGAAUCUGAGAUAGAUCUUACCUCUGCACUAAUUUAUAUACAAUCUGAGAAAAUUGACAAAUAAUGACUGGGUUUUAUGUUUCAUUUCCAUCACAAAAAAUCCAGAUUCCCACAGUUUUCAGGUGCCACUUGUUAAUUUCUUCCCAGCAUUGGGUGACACUAACUGGUUGAUGGCCAGACCUCUGAUGUAAUGAGCUCUUGUGGUACUUUGGGUGUGUCUGAAAGGUGGGAGGUGGCUGUGGAUCGCAGCUGAGCAGGGACUGGCAGCACACGAUGUGCUCUGCCUAGCACUGGAGGAGACAAAUAAUCACAGUGAGAAGAGUCAGGGCUGCAAAUGCACCUGAACAGUCAGACCACCAAACAGAGGCUGUGUCACUUGUGGAUGAGACCUGGAAACAAAGAUGUUGCUUGUUCAAGGAAGCCAAGAAGGAGAUAAUACCAUUUGGUGUCCAUUAUUCACUCCCAUAAGACCAUGAAGAUCUUGUUCUACUGCUGCAGCCAGUUGCAGAAAUGUGACUUCAGAACCACUGUGCUCAAGAGGAAUUCUCUUUGUUCACUUUUCUGUUUUGGGAGGAGGCAACAGAAAGUUUUGGUGUUUCCUGUUUUCUACAGGUAUAUUUUGAGACUAGGAGCCUAAAA